UGUCAUGGCAGCCGUGCGCGGGCAGGCUUUCGCCUGGCCGGAUUUCCAAGUUGGCCGGUUUCUCACCCCGUGCAUGGCUGCCACCUAU
rnacentral:antisense_RNA from 2 species